rnacentral:tRNA from 1 species
GCAUUGGUGGUUCAUUGGUAAAAUUCUUGCCUUCCAGGCGGGAGACCGAGGUUCAAUUCCUGGACAAUGUA